AUCCGGCUGACGAAUCCCACACAGGACGAAACGCGCAUCAUGGUU
rfam:Schistosoma curassoni strain Dakar, Senegal genome assembly, scaffold: SCTD_contig0009910